GCCAGCAGCUAAUUUUGCCCUGUAAAUCACAACUGGAAGCCCACAAGCUCAGUGGGUGUGAGCCUGGUCAGUACCUGGAUGGGAGACCUCCUGGGAAAGCUAAGGUUGCUGCUGGAA
rnacentral:rRNA from 1 species